UAGUAAUAGUUAUGUUCUUGAAAAUUAAAAAAGUUGGCGGUAUUUUAGUCUAUUUAGAGGAACCUGUCCUGUAAUCGAUAAUCCACGAUUUGAUUUACUUAUUGUUUAAGUUUGCAUAUCGCCGUAGGUUGAAUAUUUUUAAAGAAUUAGUAAUAUUCAAUAAGUUUAUAAGAAAAAAAUUCAGGUCAAGAUGUAGCGUAUAAAUAAGAAGAGAUGGGUUACAAUAAAUAUAUUUAUAACGAAUUAAUAAGUUUAAUUUUAUAAUGAAGGUGGAUUUAAAGGUAAU
rnacentral:rRNA from 1 species